AAAGGUGGGAUCACCUGUAUGCCUUGCCGCUUGUACCCCAACAAAAUGUGACACACAGAAACAUGGAAGCUGUCAACGUUCCUCUGUAAAUGCCUACCGAGGAAGACAUUAUUCUACCUACCGGGAAGCCUGAAGACACACUCCCUGGAGCAGAGACAUGACCCACAGGGUAAGAACAUGCCCUGGCACAGCCUCCAUCCACUUCCCUCCAGAGUGAGCGCGCCAUCCCGAGCUGCUUUCCGAUAUGCUUGCCCACAGCUGUGAACCAGUCUUUAUCAAAUUCUCCUCAGUUACUUCACUUUAGGGAGCCAUCAAUCUCCUGCCAGGACUGUGACUGACAAGCUAAAAACAGAAUUGAUUACCCUCGAGUUUUUCUCAGAGAAGCUACAUGUCACAAUAGGUACAGAGUAAUUCCGAUGCGAUUUCUUUAAGUCAUGGGCAGGCGGAAAAAUAGGUCAUCCAUACUUCUGUAAUAAUUUACUACAUGGCAUACCUUGGAAGAGCAGAACCGUCUUCUUAUAAAGUGAAGUAAGCUGUGGAGCAUGGAACUCGAUUACAGAAUUGAAGAAGUAUGCUGUUGCUAAAAAUACUCCGCAGGAUUCCUUUCUAAGGGCAUCACCCAUCGCUACUACGGUUCUGAGUCGCUCUAAAUGCAUAUAAAGACCACGCUGAGAACACGCUGCAGAGUGCACAACAGCAAGGCGUGGGACUCUACGGCAGCCACUGACGGGACAGCUUACCUAAAGCCAAGGGGUCUGAGCUCAUCUGUUCUAGGAAGAACACUGUUCAAGCAUACUUCACAAGACCAGUGUUCAAUAAAACUUCACAAUACCUGUGCACCUCAUCCUGAAGAUCAUGGGUGCUCUGCUGUAGUGCAAAGAAUGGCGCCUUGAGACACGCAUGCCACGCUAGCACUCUAGCACUGAGUGGCACACUCUAGCCCUGCACUGACAUUCUUCAGUCCCUCUCAACAACCCUCCUGCCUCAGCCUCCCCAGGGCUGGGAUUAUAGAGGGAAUAAAAUCAUAGUCUACAGAGAGACGCGGUCAAGAAUGCUCCAAGAAGCUUGGCUUAUAAUAUCUUAAAACUGGAAAUAAUCCAGGAUCUACCAAGAGGUGCGAAGAUACACGAAUCAUAAUAUGUGCAUAAACAGAGCCCCCGGCAAGUGCAGAGCUCAACAUGCCUUGUUAAGAACUUUCAGCUAGCAAGAGAAUCACUGAGUUGCCAUCUUGCAUCUACUGACAUGGUUCGGCAGUGGUCACCGACGGCUGCCUGCGUGGUCCCAAGUCAGGCCCCUGUGGACCUGGGAUUAAUCAGACCCGAUUUCCAGAGAACACAGGGCCAAGUUCAACAACACGAUAAGGAAACAGCUACACUUGCAUGCGGCAUUCAACACACACACCAACAGAAAGUUAUCGAAGACUCUGGAAGACACCUACAGAAACCUGAACACAAUGGAGGACUCCUCUGAGAGCCAGACAUGUCUGGGGACAUCCCUAGCAGCCUGGGAGGAAUCCUGGAAGAGACACUUAAAACACACCAAUCUGUCUGCUGCUGAGUGAUCACACAGCAUCAGAUUUCCACCACUGCAGCGCAACGUCUCAGACGCAAGUCGUUUCUUCUCGAAAUAAAAGAAGCAUUCUCACGCUUAUCACUGGAGAGGGACCCACUGAAUCUUUCUUUAAUGCCAUGAGAGCUCUACCUUUGGAGAAUGGGAGAAAAUAAAGAUAAAACUGCGGCAGAAAGCUGACUAACACCCUCAACUCCAGACUCACACCGGCGCUGGGAAGUGGUCAGCCUUCAUGAGAAUAUCUGACAAACUUCAAACCGCUCUUUGGUGACAGACUGCCCAGUGAUCCACACAUCUGUCCCCUGCUGUCCCCAACGCUAAGUUAUUUCUCUAGGAGGCAUCUCUGUCCAUCUGCACCUUCAGAUCAAGCCGCUGUCUCGACACGACCAUUCUCUGGAGUUGGACUGGAGGCAUACUGCGCUUUCGAAGGAGUUCAGCUUCCACGUGACAGA